rnacentral:rRNA from 1 species
CCUACGGGAGGCAGCAGUGGGGAAUAUUGGGCAAUGGAGGAAACUCUGAUCCAGCAACGCCGCGUGAAUGAUGAAGGUCUUCGGAUUGUAAAGUUCUUUUCUAAGGGACGAAGAAAGUGACGGUACCUUAGGAAUAAGUCUCGGCUAACUACGUGCCAGCAGCCGCGGUAAUACGUAGGAGGCGAGCGUUAUCCGGACUGACUGGGCGUAAAGGGUGCGUAGGUGGUUUGGCAAGUUAGUAGCGAAACUCCAAGGCUCAACCUUGGAACUGCUGCUGAAACGGUUGGACUUGAGUGCGGGAGGGGCAAGCGGAAUGCCUGGUGUAGCGGUGGAAUGCGUAGAUAUUAGGAGGAACACCAGUGGCGAAGGCGGGUUGCUGGACUGUAACUGACGCUGAGGCACGAAAGCGUGGGGAGCAAACAGGAUUAGAUACCCGAGUAGUC